GACGAACGCUGGCGGCGUGCUUAACACCUGCAAGUCGAACGGAAAGGCCCUGCUUUUGUGGGGUGCUCGAGUGGCGAACGGGUGAGUAACACGUGAGUAACCUGCCCUUGACUUUGGGAUAACUUCAGGAAACUGGGGCUAAUACCGGAUAGGAGCUCCUGCUGCAUGGUGGGGGUUGGAAAGUUUCGGCGGUUGGGGAUGGACUCGCGGCUUAUCAGCUUGUUGGUGGGGUAGUGGCUUACCAAGGCUUUGACGGGUAGCCGGCCUGAGAGGGUGACCGGCCACAUUGGGACUGAGAUACGGCCCAGACUCCUACGGGAGGCAGCAGCGGGGAAUAUUGCACAAUGGGCGGAAGCCUGAUGCAGCAACGCCGCGUGCGGGAUGACGGCCUUCGGGUUGUAAACCGCUUUCGCCUGUGACGAAGCGUGAGUGACGGUAAUGGGUAAAGAAGCACCGGCUAACUACGUG
rnacentral:rRNA from 1 species